CCGGCGGUAUGGGGAGUUUCCUCGAGCCCGCGAGCGCCUUCCGAGCUUUCGGAAGGGUCAGCAGAUCCGGUGAGAUGCCGGAGCCGACGGU
rnacentral:tRNA from 2 species